rnacentral:rRNA from 1 species
AUGUCGGACAGCGAAGAGCACCAGUUCGAGUCGAAGGCAGACGCCGGCGCUUCCAAGACCUACCCGCAGCAGGCCGGCACCAUUCGCAAGAACGGCUACAUCGUCAUCAAGAACCGCCCCUGCAAGGUGAUACUGGAUGUUCCCUUGAAAUGUCUACCUUGUAGGGUUGUGGAGGUUUCAACAUCUAAAACCGGGAAGCAUGGUCAUGCUAAGUGCCACUUUGUUGCUAUUGAUAUCUUCACCGGCAAGAAACUUGAAGAUAUUGUGCCAUCUUCUCACAACUGUGAUGUUCCUCAUGUGAAUCGCACAGAAUACCAGCUCAUUGAUAUAUCUGAGGAUGGAUUUGUGAGUCUGCUGACUGAUAAUGGUAACACCAAAGAUGACCUCAAGCUCCCAACUGAUGAAACCCUCCUUGGCCAGAUCAAGGAUGGGUUUGCUGAAGGGAAGGACCUGGUGGUGUCUGUCAUGUCCGCCAUGGGAGAGGAGCAGAUUAAUGCGCUCAAGGACAUCGGCCACAAGUAA